UCUACAGAUCCUGACAGCUCCACUGCCGCACCAGCUGAUUCAAAUGUGCCAACUGUACAGAAGGCGGAGGACAUUGUUGGUGCCAAGGCAUCGAUUGUGUAUGAUGACUGCUUGAAGUACCUUGCGGCCUUUGUUAUACUACCGGUGAAACGGUGCACAGCAAUAAAUGUGACCGGUGCAACAUGCCAACACCAUCCACCAUUCCUGGUGAACAUCAAAGGGAAAGGCACUGCAAGCAUGUUAGAAUGGAGCUGUGCUGAUGGACACAUUGUGUGGCGAUGGGUUUCACAGCCCUUGAUGAAGUACGGACUCCAGGCUGGAGACUUUAUGCUGAGCACCAACAUCCUACUAUCAGGAAACAACUACGCUAAAAUUGCACUGCUAUUUAGAUUUAUGAACAUGGGCAUUUUUGCCCCAAACACCUUUUUCUCCAUCCAAGACACAUACUGUGUUGACUCCAUCAAAACGUACUGGAUGGAAAAAAGGGCAGAUGUGAUUGCAAGACUUUAGGACAAAGAUGUUGUUGUCCUUGCUGAUGGCAGAAACGACACUCCGGGUCACUGUGCGCAGUACUGUAGUUACACUACAAUGGAAAACGACACAUUGGAGAUCAUCAGUGUAGUCACAGUAGACAAAAGACAAACCGACAGACGGUCUGCCAUGAUGGAGAAGGAGGCCUUCAUCUUGACUAUGGAUCAACUAGUCACUGAAGUUAAAUUGGUCGAAAUCUGCACAGAUGUCCACUCACAGAUUGGUGCCCUGAUGGGCAGCCCAGGUAAAAGAACUGUCUGUCUUACUCCUUUGGCUGAAAGAUAUCGUAAAUCACUUCUGGUGGUGCUGCAAAACAGCCGACUCCUAUGAAGAGUUCCUGCUUCACUUGGGAAAAAUAAAUAAAAGAUGCGUGAGGUCCCGUGAGAAUCACGCGUGAAACCGGACAAUU